AUGACGCGCGGCAAGGUCGAGAUGAGGCUCGUCGAGAGCGCGCGCGGGCGCGCCGCCACGUGCGGCAGGAGGACCAAGGGGCUCCAGAACAAGGCCAGGGAGCUCGCCACGCUGUGCGCCGUCCCGGUCGCGCUCGUCUGCCUCGCCGCCGGCGCCGGGGCCCCGCCGCUCGUGUGGGAGUCGGAGGAGGGCGUCCUCGAGAGGUACCGCCGCGCCGUCCCGCCGGAGGUCCGCGCGCAGCACACGCACCGGGGCUACCUUGAGGCGGAGCUGGGCAAGGAGCGGGCCAAGCUCGCCAGGGUGCGCCACGGCUGCCCCGCCGCGCUCGCGGACUGGGACCCGGCGCUCAACGACGUGACGCUGGACCAGGCGCGGGAGCUGCUCGAGGCGAUCGACGCCGCGCUGCGGGCCGCGGGAGACAGGAUGGAGGCUCUGGGCGUACCCGCCGACGGCGGCCACGGCCGGAUCGACGAGCAGAUCGCGCCGGAUGCUUCUGACGACGCCGUCAUGCCGCAGCAGCUCGCGCAAGGUGGCGGCGUGCCGUGCACCGGAAGCAACCCCGUGGACCUGGACAUGGAUGCCGCCGGCUUCGAGUUGCAGAUGGUGCCGUGGCACGGCGGGAACAACGACGGCCUACUCGGGGAAGAUCGCUUCCAGAUGCAACCAGGGUGCGGCUUCCAGUGCAUCGGCGGCGGCAACUACUCGGGCGCCGUCGACGAGACGCUCGCGCUAGGCUCCGGCAAUGCUGGUUACGACUGGACUGAUCUGACCAUGUGGCACACCGGCGAGUUGCGCGAUGCAGUCCUGCCACUUGGGAACUACCCUGCCUUCGCCGACUGUACUCCGGCGCCUGAGUACUCCGCCCAGGUCGUCGCCGGCGGGGACUACAUGAAGACACUGCCAACUGGAUACGGGUACCCCAUGGCCAUGGGCGUCGGCAACAACUUCACUCUGGGAAGCAACUACACGGCGCGUUGGCAGGUCGAGGAGUCCCAUCGCUCCGGCACAAGCACAAUGUCAGCUGCACCAUCGCCUCAGUGUUCGGAUCCCGGGACACGGAGCUCCGGCCAAGUCUUCCAUUAUCUCCACUAG
rnacentral:rRNA from 1 species